rnacentral:lncRNA from 10 species
CCCAACUCCACAACAGGCACCUGUGUGUGAUGUUCCCCUUCCUGUGUCCAUAAAGUUUUAAAGUCGUGGUUAACAAUGAGAAAACACAUUUACUUUCAAAUACAGUUUGAUAAAUGUAAUUUUAGAAAACGCUGAGGUGAUGAAUGUGUUCAUUGACUUGAUUGUGGUAAUUAUUUCACAAUGUAUAUAUACGUCAAACCAUCACAUUGUACAUUGUGAAUAUAUGCAGUUUUAUAAAUUCUACCACAAGAAAACUGGUGAAAGGAACACAUACAUGCUCAGACACAUUACACUGUUUUGCUUGGCCAUAAAUAGGGUGUAUACAAAUUUGCUUCCAACAUCAUAUGUAAUUACCUUUCCAUGUUAGAUUCCUAGUAGAUACUCAGAUAUUUCAGAUAAAAUAUCAAGAAAAAUCACUGAUGCUGCCUUGCAAACACCUAUCAUCAGAUAUUUGUUCCCUAUGUAUUCAAGGUUAGAACAUUUUAAAAUGUAAAUAAAUUAUACAUAAACGUAGACAUGAUGAUUAGCCACUUACUGUAACUAUAAGAGACAAAGAACUAACAUUUCUAUAACAUUUCAUACCAAGUUAUUCCUAUA